GGGGCCGUAGUCUAGCCUGGCUAGGAUGCGCGGCUUGGGCUGCCUCCGUGGGCGACAAUUAAGGGAGAACCCACGGACAUGAGAACCCGCGUGACCCCGGGUUCAAAUCCCGGCGGCCCCA
rnacentral:tRNA from 1 species